UUGCAUCCACAUUUGGCCGCUGCCGCUC
rnacentral:sRNA from 1 species